UGGGUCAGCUUCUUCGAGCCAUCUCCUCAAAGGCUCAGUCUCAACUCCUUAAACAACCUUUCCCCAAUUGAUUCAAUUUGAAAUCUCAAAUCACCAAACCCAGACGUCUUCAUCUUCCGUUUUUCCUUAGUUUCCUUUUCGUUUCAAUUUACAGAAAUCCAAUCGAAGAUUAACUCCAUUCCCAAAUUUCCUUCUAAGCCCUAAUUUCUCUGAAUCCCAGUUUCCUUUCAAUUUCGAACCACCCCGUCGUCGUUACUGGGCCGCCGUUCGGCUCUGAACUGUCCCCCAACGGCUUACCCCCUGCCCUCUCCCGCGAGAUUCUAGUGUACCAUAGGCUAGAAUUUGAGGUCGAUGACGGCCUCCAUCGAACCCUUGCCGUCCGAUUUGGUCAAGAAGCUUCUCUUCCAGCUCCUGAAGGGCGUCGACGACUGUCAUGAUAACAACAUCCUCACCGGAACCUUAACCUAAGAAUCUGCUGCUUGAUAAGAAACAACAGAGCCUCAAGAUCGGCGAUGGGAUCAGUCAGUCUUUCGCUUUCUUCUACAAGUCUUUUGUGCCGGAGGUUUUGCUUGGAUUCACAGAUUACUCAACUCCGAAGGACAUUUGGGCCAUCGGCUGCAUCUUCGAGUUUUUGAAGAGACACGCUAAUGGUUUACUGCCAAUUGAAGAGACACGCUAUAGGGUUUAGCUGCUGCAACUGUGCUGUUGAAGAGACACGCUAAUGGUUUACUGCCAAUUGAAAAUUUCAACAUAGUACUUGAAGAUCAGAGUGGGAAGAAAGUACAAAUGGAUUGGAGACUGAUCAGCGGGCAAUCAUGAUCGGCCUGAUGCUUCAUACUAAUGCAAAGCAACUAAUUAAAGCACAAAAUUACCAAGAUGCAUUGGAAGUGCUCAUCAUGGGGGAGGUUCGUUACUGGUGCCUUGCAACUGAUAGUUUCGUUCAUGUGAAACUUGCAUGUUAAGUGGCUUGUCCAUGCUUGUUACAGCAGCUUAUGUCUCCUAAUCUUCUGUGGGUUGUAUUUUCUUCCUUUUUUUCAUUCUUGUAGGAGCCUUUCUCUCUUGUAUUACUAUGCAGUACAUGUGGCUGUGUAACUUUGAAGGAUCUGCCACUAUACUCAACAGGGCAUGAUCUGCGUGUUUCUGUUUCUUGAUUAAUUUUACACUUUCUGCAGGUUUAAUCCCAACAUAGUAAGCAGCUUAGACUGAAGUUAUCAGUGCAGUUUGUUGUCUAUGCUUAAUUUAUUGAGAUUUUUUUUUAAUUUCUCAAAAAAUGCUGAUUUAUUUUUUUCACUGAUGACCUUUGUUAUUAUCCAAGAAAAUAAAUUGUCAGUUUAUUUUACUCCUGGAAUUCACUCCUUUUUUCAUACUCAUAGAGUUGGGAUGGAAGCUUGGGUUCCAUUUGUUUCUACAAGACAGUGAAUUAACAUAAGUUCAUUAACAUAAGUCUUGGCAGGUUUGCCUCCUUCUCUAUAUCUUCAUCCUAUUAUAUCUCUAUAAGUAUUUUGUGCGUAUAUUGUAACUCUUUUUAUCUUUAUCUUCCAGUUGUCUUCCUCAAAAAUGCUGAAAUUGGCUAUUUGCUUUCCUCUGAUUCUGAUAUGAUGGCUUAAAUUAUGUUAUAGAUGCAUUAUAAGUUACACCAUGCCAAUAUGCUCUUACUGUUUUUAUUCAAAAUUUAAAAGUUUGUUCCUCUCAGCUAAUUGAAAGUAGAAGUAGGAGAACUAGACGAGAACUAGGCUAAACUUUUGUAUUGCAAAGAAAAGUAGGAAGUCCAUUGUCCAACUAUGUCAUGGUAUAGGUACUUGUUUGAUAGAUUGUAGUUGAAUAGCCAUGCUUACGAUUCUAGCUGUGUUCAUGGUUUAUGAUGUGAGGUUUAGUUACCUGAGUUUUUGUAAUGGCCAAUGCUUGAUGAGUUUAGUACUUUAGUGCUUUUAUCAGAUUAAUUUGGUCCUGUUUGAGUGUGUCCAGUGCGUUAAUAAGUCUGACUUGUUGAGUGAAAUUUCAAAUAUUGAACUCUUUGGUUCUGGAAAAUGUAGAGGUUUUAGGAAUUAGGAACCAAAAAAUGAUUCCACCAGAAGAUGAUAAUUACUUGAGCUGUGAUUUUUGCUUGAGAGUUGUUCUGUUUCUAAAUGCUAUAUCUGCCUUUAUAAUUUAUGAUAUAUAACUGCAUGAAUCAUGAUCAUUUCACAAUCGCAGUUUAUGCAAAAGUCUUGCUGAUUUUGUAUGAUUUCCUUGCCAAAGUAUCUUCAUUUUUUCUUUCAUUGAUGGCUUGCAGAUCAUGUUGUUCAAGUAAAGGACGGUGCAUGUAGUUGAUGCUGUAUAAAGACAGGUGGGGAACUAGAUUUGAUUCCAUGGCUAAACAAAUCAAAAUUUAACGCACCAAUAAUCGCUUUAACUUUAUAGGUUUGACACCAUGGCUGCACAGACAAAGUUCCGGGAAUAGUGGGAAGACAAGAGUUUGUAUCAAUAUGUUGGCUGUAGAAACCAAGUUCCUGCACACACUAUAUGUGGCAUGUUUAAUUUGGAACAACGUAGUUGUAUCAGCUUUUGAUGUCCCAAGUAGAUGGCCAUGCAUUUGAAUACUUUUCUUCCAUUAAUGGUUGCUUGGAUGAUUGGGAAAUGCUCCCUUUUAACAUUUGAGAUAUAUGGAAUGGGUUUGAUUACUCA